GUGGGGAAUAUUCCGCAAUGGACGAAAGUCUGACGGAGCAACGCCGCGUGAGUGAUGAAGGUUUUCGGACUGUAAAGCUCUGUUGUUUAGGACGAAAGUGCCUGUUGCAAAUAGUUACAGGUAUUGACGGUACUGAACGAGGAAGCCACGGCUAACUACGUGCCAGCAGCCGCGGUAAUACGUAGGUGGCAAGCGUUGUCCGGAAUUAUUGGGCGUAAAGAGCAUGUAGGCGGGAAUCUAAGUCUGUUGUGAAAAUGCGGGGCUCAACCCCGUAUUGGGAUGGAAACUGGGUUUCUUGAGUGCAGGAGAGGAAAGGGGAAUUCCCAGUGUAGCGGUGAAAUGCGUAGAUAUUGGGAGGAACACCAGUGGCGAAGGCGCCUUUCUGGACUGUGUCUGACGCUGAGAUGCGAAAGCCAGGGUAGCGAACGGGAUUAGAUACCCGGGUAGUCC
rnacentral:rRNA from 1 species